rnacentral:pre_miRNA from 1 species
GACUCACUCAACUUGGCUGUGAUUACUUGGGGUGGUGUCACAACCUCCUUGAGUGAGUGA